AAGUCGAACGGUAACAGGAAGCAGCUUGCUGCUUCGCUGACGAGUGGCGGACGGGUGAGUAAUGUCUGGGAAACUGCCUGAUGGAGGGGGAUAACUACUGGAAACGGUAGCUAAUACCGCAUAACGUCGCAAGACCAAAGAGGGGGACCUUCGGGCCUCUUGCCAUCAGAUGUGCCCAGAUGGGAUUAGCUAGUAGGUGGGGUAACGGCUCACCUAGGCGACGAUCCCUAGCUGGUCUGAGAGGAUGACCAGCCACACUGGAACUGAGACACGGUCCAGACUCCUACGGGAGGCAGCAGUGGGGAAUAUUGCACAAUGGGCGCAAGCCUGAUGCAGCCAUGCCGCGUGUAUGAAGAAGGCCUUCGGGUUGUAAAGUACUUUCAGCGGGGAGGAAGGCGAUGCGGUUAAUAACCGCGUCGAUUGACGUUACCCGCAGAAGAAGCACCGGCUAACUCCGUGCCAGCAGCCGCGGUAAUACGGAGGGUGCAAGCGUUAAUCGGAAUUACUGGGCGUAAAGCGCACGCAGGCGGUCUGUCAAGUCGGAUGUGAAAUCCCCGGGCUCAACCUGGGAACUGCAUCCGAAACUGGCAGGCUUGAGUCUCGUAGAGGGGGGUAGAAUUCCAGGUGUAGCGGUGAAAUGCGUAGAGAUCUGGAGGAAUACCGGUGGCGAAGGCGGCCCCCUGGACGAAGACUGACGCUCAGGUGCGAAAGCGUGGGGAGCAAACAGGAUUAGAUACCCUGGUAGUCCACGCCGUAAACGAUGUCGACUUGGAGGUUGUGCCCUUGAGGCGUGGCUUCCGGAGCUAACGCGUUAAGUCGACCGCCUGGGGAGUACGGCCGCAAGGUUAAAACUCAAAUGAAUUGACGGGGGCCCGCACAAGCGGUGGAGCAUGUGGUUUAAUUCGAUGCAACGCGAAGAACCUUACCUGGUCUUGACAUCCACAGAACUUUCCAGAGAUGGAUUGGUGCCUUCGGGAACUGUGAGACAGGUGCUGCAUGGCUGUCGUCAGCUCGUGUUGUGAAAUGUUGGGUUAAGUCCCGCAACGAGCGCAACCCUUAUCCUUUGUUGCCAGCGGUYMGGCCGGGAACUCAAAGGAGACUGCCAGUGAUAAACUGGAGGAAGGUGGGGAUGACGUCAAGUCAU
rnacentral:rRNA from 1 species